GAUAAACGCUGGCGGCGUGCCUAAUGCAUGCAAGUCGCACGGGGGUGUCCCUUCGGGGGCAUCGAGUGGCGAACGGGUGAGGAACGCGUGGACAACCUACCCCCGGCGUGGGGGGAUACCCGCCAAGAAAUGGACGGCUAAUACCCGCGUACGGUCCAUGGGGCGGAGGGCUCGUGGAAGAAAGCAGCGAUGCGCGCUGGGGAGGGGUCUGC
rnacentral:rRNA from 1 species